rnacentral:rRNA from 1 species
GACGAACGCUGGCGGCGUGCUUAACACAUGCAAGUCGAACGGAAAGGCCCUGCUUUUGUGGGGUGCUCGAGUGGCGAACGGGUGAGUAACACGUGAGUAACCUGCCCUUGACUUUGGGAUAACUUCAGGAAACUGGGGCUAAUACCGGAUAGGAGCUCCUGCUGCAUGGUGGGGGUUGGAAAGUUUCGGCGGUUGGGGAUGGACUCGCGGCUUAUCAGCUUGUUGGUGGGGUAGUGGCUUACCAAGGCUUUGACGGGUAGCCGGCCUGGGAGGGUGACCGGGCACAUUGGGACUGAGAGACGGCCCAGAGUCCAACGGGAGGCAGCAGGGGGGAGUAUUGCACAAUGGGCGGAAGCCUGAUGCAGCAACGCCGCGUGCGGGAUGACGGCCUUCGGGUUGUAAACCGCUUUCGCCUGUGACGAAGCGUGAGUGACGGUAAUGGGUAAAGAAGCACCGGCUAACUACGUG